CUGAACUAGACGGGAUGAGUUCUGAUUCCCUCACCCCAUUCACCCCAGACUCCCGGACAGGACCCACCAUCAGAGAUGACCUGCUUACCUGUGGGAUUCAGAAGAAAACAUUAUUACAAAUAUUGUGAAAUAUUAUUAGAAUUUAAAUUGGAAAGUGAGAAUCUCUGGAGAAAAGCUGCUGAGCACAGGGGGCACAUCUAACGGCUGAGUGAUGGAGGACUGGAUGGGUGACAUGUCAGAGGAGAGGCUGGAGAUUGCUAGAAAAAUGAAGACAGUUAUGAUAUUACCAACAGUAUCAAUUAAUGCUCCUUCAUAUCUCAGGACACUUUAUGGAGUUCUCAGUUAUAUAUUAAGAUAAGUGACUGUGUACCUGAGUGAUUGUCUGACUGAGUGGAUGUUUCCUCACACUGGUCGUCUUUCUCAGCUGGCCAUGGUGCGACCGAAGGCGACUGUGUCUCAUUCUUCUGUGGCGUCUUCAUUUGGCUGUCGGUCCUCGAAUCCUCUGUGCAGACUGUCAUCUUAUUCAAGACCUGAGACGCAGAGAUUUUAACAUGUUUAUUAAAGCAUUACUGUAAAACA